rnacentral:rRNA from 1 species
UACGGAGGAUGCGAGCGUUAUCCGGAUUUAUUGGGUUUAAAGGGUGCGCAGGCGGCAUGUCAAGUCAGCGGUAAAAUGUCGGGGCUCAACCCCGGCCGGCCGUUGAAACUGGCGCGCUGGAGUUGGAGAGAAGUACGCGGAAUUCGUGGUGUAGCGGUGAAAUGCAUAGAUAUUGCGCAGAACUCCGAUUGCGAAGGCAGCGUACCGGCGCCCGACUGACGCUCAUGCACGAAAGCGUGGGUAUCGAACAGG